GAAAAAUUGAAAAAUCCAACCCAAGGGAGAGGACCAUCUUUAAAAUCAUUCAUGUUAGGCAUCCCUUUUCUUUUGAGUCCAGGAAUUGCAUAGAAAGAGGCAACAACUAAAAGACCGAGGCUCAUUAUCAGCUUGGAAUUCAAAAUUGAUUUCAAAGCCGAAAAUGGUUUGAACUUUAAGUGUUCAGACUAUGUAUUAUUAGUCUACACGGAGCAAUUUAAUUUUGACCGUUGGUUAUACCCCUACCAGUAAGUUUUGGAAAAUAAAUAUAGCAUACCAGAAGGUCAUUUAUGCAAGAGAGAAUUUCAUUGGGUCGGUCCAUUUAGGAGCAUAUGAACUUCAUCUUCGGGAGCAGAGACAUAAUUAUGCAAGACAGCUUAAUACUUGAAUUCUUCUCUAUUUUGGGCCUUGUGAAGCUGUCCUUUUGGACAACAUGAAUGUAAUCUUUUGUGUGAGCCAAAUUACCAAUUCCCAUUUCUUAAAGGCUCAGUUUGCUCCCACUGAUUAUUAUAUUAAUUUGGAUGUUCAUGUUUGCUGACUUA